AGUGAACGCUGGCGGCAGGCCUAACACAUGCAAGUCGAACGGCAGCACAGAAAUAGCUCGCGUUUACGGGUGCGGACGGGUGGGUGGGGGAUGAGAACAUCCCUUUCUAUUGGGGCUAGCGUGACGACGUAGGCGCUAAUACGCCAUUAUCGCUUACGACGAAAGGGGGAGAGCAGGGGACCUUCCGAUCUUGGGCGAUCGAAUGAGCGGUUGUCGGAUUAGCUAGUUGGCGGGGUAAAGGCCCACCAAGGCGACGAUCCGUAGCUGGUCUGAGAGGAUGAUCAGCCACACUGGAACUGAGACACGGUCCAGACUCCUACGGGAGGCAGCAGUGGGGAAUAUUGGACAAUGGGCGCAAGCCUGAUCCAGCCAUGCCGCGUGAGUGAAGAAGGCCUUCGGGUUGUAAAGCCCUUUUGGUGGGGAAGAAAGGCAGUAGGUUAAUACCCUGCUGUUCUGACGGUACCCAAAGAAUAAGCACCGGCUAACUUCGUG
rnacentral:rRNA from 1 species